rnacentral:tRNA from 1 species
AAACUAGUUUAUUUAUAUAAAAUAUUUGAUUGCAAAUCAAAUGAAGAGAAUUCGUUUU